rnacentral:rRNA from 1 species
GGGCCUUCGGCGACCAGAGAAUUGUGCCGGCGCACGAACUCUGGUAUUGAUUGGUGCUUGCAUCAUGAUUUACAUUUGAGUGAGUGGCGAACUGGUGAGUAACACGUGGGAAACCUGCCCAGAAGCGGGGGAUAACACCUGGAAACAGAUGCUAAUACCGCAUAACAACUUGGACCGCAUGGUCCGAGUUUGAAAGAUGGCUUCGGCUAUCACUUUUGGAUGGUCCCGCGGCGUAUUAGCUAGAUGGUGGGGUAACGGCUCACCAUGGCAAUGAUACGUAGCCGACCUGAGAGGGUAAUCGGCCACAUUGGGACUGAGACACGGCCCAAACUCCUACGGGAGGCAGCAGUAGGGAAUCUUCCACAAUGGACGAAAGUCUGAUGGAGCAACGCCGCGUGAGUGAAGAAGGGUUUCGGCUCGUAAAACUCUGUUGUUAAAGAAGAACAUAUCUGAGAGUAACUGUUCAGGUAUUGACGGUAUUUAACCAGAAAGCCACGGCUAACUACGUGCCAGCAGCCGCGGUAAUACGUAGGUGGCAAGCGUUGUCCGGAUUUAUUGGGCGUAAAGCGAGCGCAGGCGGUUUUUUAAGUCUGAUGUGAAAGCCUUCGGCUCAACCGAAGAAGUGCAUCGGAAACUGGGAAACUUGAGUGCAGAAGAGGACAGUGGAACUCCAUGUGUAGCGGUGAAAUGCGUAGAUAUAUGGAAGAACACCAGUGGCGAAGGCGGCUGUCUGGUCUGUAACUGACGCUGAGGCUCGAAAGUAUGGGUAGCAAACAGGAUUAGAUACCCUGGUAGUCCAUACCGUAAACGAUGAAUGCUAAGUGUUGGAGGGUUUCCGCCCUUCAGUGCUGCAGCUAACGCAUUAAGCAUUCCGCCUGGGGAGUACGGCCGCAAGGCUGAAACUCAAAGGAAUUGACGGGGGCCCGCACAAGCGGUGGAGCAUGUGGUUUAAUUCGAAGCUACGCGAAGAACCUUACCAGGUCUUGACAUACUAUGCAAAUCUAAGAGAUUAGACGUUCCCUUCGGGGACAUGGAUAC